UACCAAAGCGGUUGUGGGAAUCGAACCCACAGUGUUCCGCUUACCGGGCAGAUGUCAUGUCCACUAGGCUACCUUGGA